rnacentral:rRNA from 1 species
UACAGAGGUCUCAAGCGUUGUUCGGAUUCAUUGGGCGUAAAGGGUGCGUAGGCGGCGCGGUAAGUCGGGUGUGAAAUCUCGGGGCUUAACUCCGAAACUGCAUUCGAUACUGCCGUGCUUGAGGACUGGAGAGGAGACUGGAAUUUACGGUGUAGCGGUGAAAUGCGUAGAUAUCGUAAGGAAGACCAGUGGCGAAGGCGGGUCUCUGGGCAGUAACUGACGCUGGAGGAGCGAAAGCCGUGGGGAGCGAACAGG